rnacentral:rRNA from 1 species
GACAGAGGGUGCAAACGUUGCUCGGAAUUACUGGGCGUAAAGCGCGUGUAGGUGGAUUGGUGUGUCAGAUGUGAAAUCCCUGGGCUCAACCCAGGAACUGCACCUGAAACUACCAGUCUUGAGUGGUGGAGAGGGAAGUGGAAUUCCUGGUGUAGAGGUGAAAUUCGUAGAUAUCAGGAGGAACACCAGUGGCGAAGGCGGCUUCCUGGACACCAACUGACGCUGAGACGCGAAAGCGUGGGGAGCGAACAGG